AGCGAACGCUGGCGGCAGGCCUAAUACAUGCAAGUCGAACGGCUCUUCGGAGCAGUGGCGGACGGGUGAGUAACGCGUGGGAACGUGCCCUUUGGUUCGGAACAACACAGGGAAACUUGUGCUAAUACCGAAUGUGCCCUUCGGGGGAAAGAUUUAUCGCCAUUGGAGCGGCCCGCGUUGGAUCAGCUAGUUGGUGGGGUAAUGGCCCACCAAGGCUACGAUCCCUAGCUGGUCUGAGAGGAUGAUCAGCCACACUGGGACUGAGACACGGCCCAGACUCCUACGGGAGGCAGCAGUAGGGAAUCUUGCGCAAUGGGCGAAAGCCUGACGCAGCCAUGCCGCGUGAAUGAUGAAGGUCUUAGGAUUGUAAAAUUCUUUCACCGGGGAAGAUAAUGACGGUACCCGGAGAAGAAGCCCCGGCUAACUUCGUGCCAGCCGCCGCAGUAA
rnacentral:rRNA from 1 species